rnacentral:rRNA from 1 species
GAUGAACGCUGGCGGCGUGCUUAACACAUGCAAGUCGAACGAAGCAUUUAGAACAGAUUACUUCGGUUUGAAGUUCUUUAUGACUGAGUGGCGGACGGGUGAGUAACGCGUGGGUAACCUGCCUUGUACUGGGGGAUAGCAGCUGGAAACGGCUGGUAAUACCGCAUAAGCGCACAAUGUUGCAUGACAUGGUGUGAAAAACUCCGGUGGUAUAAGAUGUACCCGCGUCUGAUUAGCUAGUUGGUGAGAUAACAGCCCACCAAGGCGACGAUCAGUAGCCGACCUGAGAGGGUGACCGGCCACAUUGGGACUGAGACACGGCCCAGAAUCCUACGGGAGGCAGCAGUGGGGAAUAUUGCACAAUGGAGGAAACUCUGAUGCAGCGACGCCGCGUGAGUGAAGAAGUAAUUCGUUAUGUAAAGCUCUAUCAGCAGGGAAGAUAGUGACGGUACCUGACUAAGAAGCUCCGGCUAAAUACGUG